rnacentral:tRNA from 1 species
AAAGAUUUAGUUAAAUUCAUAACAUUAAUUUGUCAAAUUAAAAUUAUUAAUAAAUAAUAAUCUUUU